GUGUUUUUUUCAAAAGCAAAGGAUGAAAAGAAAGUCACAUAAUAUGGACUCAUCCAAAGGAUACAACCCUGACAAUAUGGAUCUGCUGACAUUAUUCAUAGUCAACCAGAUUGCAUCAAAGAAAGAGCAAACAGACAAACCAAAAACAAACCGUUUGACUGGUGUGAAAAGAACCAAAAAAAACUUUGAAAGAACCCUUAGAGAUACCAAUGAGCCCUUGCGCUCCUUCAAACCUGAACCUAGGUACCAGUCAGCCACAGUACAGUAUUGAAACGCCUGGUUAUAAAGUCAGAAAACAUCGUCUUUCUGAAGAAUUCAAGUUCAAGCCG